UCCGUAACGUCAUCAGCAGAAGUUGAGACAUAAAGCUCGUGCGGUUGGAAGCACGUGGCAAGCAUUUAGCGCCAACAAGGAUUUACCUCUGCCUUUGGACCGAAGAGCGACAGAAGGAUCGGAAGGAAAAGCAAUCCAUUGAUGAGGCCAAUAACAAUCAGCGCCGCCAACACAUUAAAGAAAUACCUGUAACAGAAAACGUCCAGGCAACACAGAAGAUAAAUGAUAAUCAAUGUAAAAUGGACUUCUGAUGAAGACUUACACGUCAAACAUAUCUAC